rnacentral:SRP_RNA from 1 species
GCUGGGCAUGGUGGCGCGUGCCUGUAAUCCCAGCUACUCGGGAGGCUGAGACAGGAGAAUCGCUUGAACCCAGGAAGCAGAGGUUGCAGUGAGCCAAGAUCGCACCACUGCACUCCAGCCUGGGCUACAGAGCGAGACUCCAUCUCAA